rnacentral:rRNA from 1 species
AACGAACGCUGGCGGCAUGCCUAACACAUGCAAGUCGAACGAACCCUUCGGGGUUAGUGGCGCACGGGUGCGUAACGCGUGGGGAUCUGCCCAAAGGUUCGGAAUAACUCAGAGAAAUUUGAGCUAAUACCGGAUAAUGUCUUCGGACCAAAGAUUUAUUGCCUUUGGAUGAACCCGCGUAGGAUUAGCUUGUUGGUGGGGUAGAGGCCUACCAAGGCGACGAUCCUUAGCUGGUCUGAGAGGAUGAUCAGCCACACUGGGACUGAGACACGGCCCAGACUCCUACGGGAGGCAGCAGUGGGGAAUAUUGGACAAUGGGCGAAAGCCUGAUCCAGCAAUGCCGCGUGAGUGAUGAAGGCCUUAGGGUUGUAAAGCUCUUUUACCAGGGAUGAUAAUGACAGUACCUGGAGAAUAAGCUCCGGCUAACUCCGUGCCAGCAGCCGCGGUAAAGUCUGUACU